UGGGGAAUAUUGGACAAUGGGGGGAACCCUGAUCCAGCCAUGCCGCGUGUGUGAAGUAGGCCUUAUGGUUGUAAAGCACUUUAAGCGGGGAGGAGGGUACUGGUAUUAAUACUACCAGGUACUGGACGUUACUCGCAGAAUAAGCACUGGCUAACUCUGUGCCAGCAGCCGCGGUCAUACAGAGGGUGCGAGCGUUAAUCGGAUUUACUGGGCGUAAAGCGUGCGUAGGCGGCUAGUUUAGUCGGUUGUGAAGUCCCCGAGCUUAACUUGGGAAAUGCAUUCGAUACUGGUUAGCUAGAGUGUGGGAGAGGAUGGUGGAAUUCCAGGUGUAGCGGUGAAAUGCGUAGAGAUCUGGAGGAAUACCGAUGGCGAAGGCAGCCAUCUGGGCUAACACUGACGCUGAGGUACGAAAGCAUGGGGAGCAAACAGG
rnacentral:rRNA from 1 species